rnacentral:lncRNA from 1 species
CAGCCUGCGGCACCUGGAAAAUAAAGGGACACAGAGGGAAGUGGGGGCAUCAGGGAACCAUUUAUUUCGCCAGCAGGCGUCUGCAGGAGAAAACUAGAUGUAGAAUAGAAACAGCAUGUGAGGACUGGAAUAUAUGGGGUCCUGCCUAGAAAAAGUGUUUUGUCUCCUUGUUGUUAGGGCUGGCAGAUUGUGCUGUCAGACCACGGGGUGGCAAUAUUUAGACUCAGUGUGCAGAAGUUAGCCAUUUAAGGGAAGCGUAGUGUGCUCAGUAUGCAGACAGGAGAGAAACAAAAUGACUUCAGUUACUGUCCCAGUUAAUGCUCCUUGUUCUUUAUCGCAUUUCACACAAGGCUAUCACCUCCCUCCUCUGAUGAAAACUGCAGUUUUUCUAAGGAAAAAAUACCUGUUUUAACAUACAUUGCUGCCAGACGAGUUACUAAUAUUGCUGAUUGCUGCAAGUCACAAUGUUUACAAAGGAUCAAUACAAAAAGCAACAACAACUGAAAUGAAAAUGGAGGAGCCUUGACAACAAAGUCCAUUCUUAGCUAAAAUCAGCUGAAAAAGUAAUUGCUUCUUGUGUAGGAGUGUCUUUUGUUUACUCUCUAUUUUUAUUUAUCCUUUACUCACAGUAGUGAGGAAGGUGGAGGAUUACUGAGGCAGGAUGAGCAGUUUGCACUUCCAUCCCGCCCAGCUCUGGAGUCCUCCAAAUGUGGGCGGAU